GCUUUUGCUUUUCUCUCAAAUAUAAAUAUAUUUAUUGCAAAUUGUCUCACUCUUAAAACUGCUAUACAAUAAUUAAAUUUUUUCAUGUGAGAACGAGAAAAUUACAUGCGUCGUUGUGGAAGUGAUGGCAAGAAAAGUGCGACGCUUGAUAUUUAUUAUGUAAAUGACGGCUAGUCUGGCUUGCACGCCAAAUGAUACCUGGACACAUAGAGCGCAGCAUCCGCUGGUUGUUCAAGUUCUUAGCGCUUGGUUCUUGUUAUAGUCGUAAAAUCAAAAUGAACAACAUCAAAAUGUUCCGCUGGAUAGAUGACUGGCAGCCGAAGGCUCAUAAGCAACAGGUGCAACCAGUUGGGCUUUACAGAUACCCGCUCUCGGAAAUAGCCUUUGCUCGUCUCCUAGAACAGUUAUAUGUACGCUAAAUUUAUUUACGCGCCGCCUGAUGAAGAAAAAGGUUUUUGGUGGGUGGCAGUUUAUGGCAUUGCCAUCUAUCAUGUGAAAAGGCACCGAAUUACUUAUUCUCUUAUGGACAGAAUCCCACCUAGUUGUCAAUUAGGCGCUACUCAACUUGACGUGUUUGAAUAUCUAUUUUUAAUUUAUCUUCUACUACCAUCCUAAAACUGCCAAACAGUCAAUCAAAACUAUAGUUCAGCAAUUAAAAUGUAUAUUUACUUAAAGUAAUAAAAUGAGUAAUGAAUGUCAGUCAAA